CCCUCGUUGGCGCAGUAGGCAGCGUGUCAGUCUCAUAAUCUGAAGGUUGUGAGUUCGAGCCUCACACAGGGCA
rfam:Danio rerio chromosome 4, GRCz11 reference primary assembly.